rnacentral:rRNA from 1 species
AGAGCGAACGCUGGCGGCAGGCUUAACACAUGCAAAGUCGAGCGGAUGUAGCAAUACAUCAGCGGCAGACGGGUGAGUAACGCGUGGGAACAUACCUUUUGGUUCGGAACAACCCAGGGAAACUUGGGCUAAUACCGGAUAAGCCCUUACGGGGAAAGAUUUAUCGCCGAAAGAUUGGCCCGCGUCUGAUUAGCUAGUUGGUGAGGUAACGGCUCACCAAGGCGACGAUCAGUAGCUGGUCUGAGAGGAUGAUCAGCCACAUUGAGACUGAGACACGGCCCAAACUCCUACGGGAGGCAGCAGUGGGGAAUAUUGGGCAAUGGGCGCAAGCCUGAUCCAGCCAUGCCGCGUGAGUGAUGAAGGCCCUAGGGUUGUAAACGCUCUUUUUGUGCGGGAAGAUAAUGACGGUACCGCAAGAAUAAGCCCCGGCUAACUUCGUG